rnacentral:rRNA from 1 species
UACAGAGGUCUCAAGCGUUGUUCGGAUUCAUUGGGCGUAAAGGGUGCGUAGGCGGCGCGGUAAGUCGGGUGUGAAAUCUCCGGGCUUAACUCGGAAAGGUCAACUGAUACUGUGCGGCUAGGGUGCAGAAGGGGCAACUGGAAUUCUCGGUGUAGCGGUGAAAUGCGUAGAUAUCGAGAGGAACACCUGCGGCGAAGGCGGGUUGCUGGGCUGACACUGACGCUGAUGCGCGAAAGCCAGGGGAGCGAACGGG